rnacentral:rRNA from 1 species
AAACCAGCACCUCAAGUGGUCAGGAGGAUUAUUGGGCCUAAAGCAUCCGUAGCCUGUUCUGUAAGUUUUCGGUUAAAUCCAUUAGCUCAACUAAUGGGCCGCCGAAAAUACUGUAGAACUAGGGAGUGGGAGAGGUAGACGGUAUUCGGUAGGAAGGGGUAAAAUCCUUUGAUCUAUUGAGGACCACCUGCGGCGAAGGCGGUCUACCAGAACACGUUCGACGGUGAGGGAUGAAAGCUGGGGGAGCAAACCGGAUUAGAAACCCGGGUAGUCC